AUGAAUGGUGUUUUGACAAAAGAUGGAAAGAAAUAUUUCAUGACGUUAAUUAACGACUCCACUAGAUACUGCCGUGUGUAUCUUCUGAAAUCUAAGGACGAGGCUUUGAACUUUUUCAAAAUCUAUAAAGCUGAAGUGGAAAACCAACUUGAUCGGAAAAUCAAGAGGCUUAGGUUCGACCGUGGUGGAGAGUAUUUUUUCAAUGAAUUUUAUACUUUUUGUGCGGAACAUGGUAUAAUCCACGAGAGGACGCCUCCCUAUUCACCUCAAUCAAAUGGGGUGGCCGAAAGAAAGAACCGUACUCUAACAGAUUUGGUUAACGCCAUGUUAGACACAUCGGGUCUCUCCAAGGCAUGGUGGGGGAGGCGAUAUUGA
rnacentral:rRNA from 1 species